UUAAAAGUUCCAUAAACCCCUAAAAAAAAAAAAAAAACAAGUAAAAACCCAACACACAGGUGAAAGUGAAACCCCUAUCUUCGCGUCUCUUCUCCACCAAACCUUGAUCUUGAUGAUGGCUUCCACUUGCAACCGUGUGAUCGGCAGAACCUUCCUCUCGUCCCUCAAAUCAACCGUUAAACCAAGGCUCCGCCCCUCUACGACGUCGUUUCGCUCUUCCUUUUCCUCAACCACACCAUCCACUCCUCGUUUCUCUCCUUUUACCAGCUGUAUGUAUUAUGAUUUGGGUAGGAAUUCGGUAUCAGAACUUGGUGGCGUUCAAUCUCUGAUGCCUCUACACAGCGCCAUGGCCGCAGCAAGGAUGACAUCCUGCCUGAGCUUGGACGGAAGUAGCCGAGCUCUCUCACAGGGUAUCCUCUGCUGCUCCUCUCCUGGACCCUAGCCUCUUUUUGUAUUGUUCUUGAUUAUGGAGUUGAUGAUACAUGAAUUGUUUUGCUUCAUACUGUCCAUGAAGAGCUUGGUCUAUCAGUCCCCAGGUGAGGAAGCCACCAGUUUGAAUGUUUAGCUACUCAUUCCUAGGUUUUGUAAUUCUUCCUAACCAGUAUCCUCCUUUAUGGAAAUUGUUUCUGGAGGCUCGUGAAGAACUAAAAUUGGUGUAGAUUGCUCUCAACUUGGAGUUGGAUAUUUUUUUACUCAAGGUAUAGGCGAUCAUCUUAUUUAUUACACAUCUUGUUGAAUAAGAGUAAACGGUUGCUCC